GUACUGGUUUAGCUCAGCGGUUACUUCCUUACUCAACGUGAAACGCCUCUUAACAGGGGAUCGAACCCCGGGCGCGGUCCAGUGCUUUU
rnacentral:vault_RNA from 1 species